CCUACGGGCGGCAGCAGUGAGGAAUAUUGGUCAAUGGGCGCGAGCCUGAACCAGCCAAGUCGCGUGAGGGAAGACGGUCCUAUGGAUUGUAAACCUCUUUUGUCGGGGAGCAAAAGACGCCACGCGUGGCGUUCCGAGAGUACCCGAAGAAAAAGCAUCGGCUAACUCCGUGCCAGCAGCCGCGGUAAUACGGAGGAUUCGAGCGUUAUCCGGAUUUAUUGGGUUUAAAGGGUGCGCAGGCGGAAGAUCAAGUCAGCGGUAAAAUUGAGGGGCUCAACCUCUUCGAGCCGUUGAAACUGGUUGGCUUGAGUGAGUGAGAGGUAGGCGGAAUGCGUGGUGUAGCGGUGAAAUGCAUAGAGAUCACGCAGAACUCCGAUUGCGAAGGCAGCAUACCGGCGCUCAACUGACGCUCAUGCACGAAAGUGUGGGUAUCGAACAGGAUUAGAUACCCCGGUAGUC
rnacentral:rRNA from 1 species